AUGAAAGACGGAAUGUUACAAUGAAGGAGAGCUUUCACAGAUGGACAGGUGCAUGCAGAACAUGCCUGGCCAUCCCUCAACUGUACACAAAACGUCUGCCAUGUAACCACAUCUGUAGGAUGCUACUCUGGGCUGAUAGAGCCAACUGCUGCAAGGAGACUGCUGCUUGCAGGUUCCCACUGAAGAUAACUGGAGGCAGAACAUCGCUGGCAUCUGGAGAGUCUCAAAACACGGGCAACGUGACUAUCUGCUCCAUUCUAGAGCCUUGCCAUGUCAUCCUUUCAGGAAGUCAAGAUUUUAGAAGAAAAAAACUCACAGCAAUUGACAGAAGAAAAGAACUGGUGCGUGAGCCUUAGCGUCAUCAACGUUCAAGCCAUAUCUACAACAGAAGUCUGUUUCUCUGAGUAACUUCAGCAUGCUGAAAAGAUAAGCAGGUGCUUUGCUGCUUUCAGAAUCUCCUUCAGCUUCCCAGAUCCCAGUUAAUCAGAACAGGAAAGAGAAAACCGAAAAAAAAAAACCAAACCCAAAAUGCCUUACUUGUUGGGGACAAUUCUACAUAACUAAAUACUUUCAAAUUGUGAUGCUAAUUACACAGAUUAAGGAAAGGCUCACCUGUAGUUUUAACUAAAAUAUCAGUG
rnacentral:lncRNA from 1 species